UACGGAGGGAGCUAGCGUUGUUCGGAAUUACUGGGCGUAAAGCGCGCGUAGGCGGCGAACCAAGUCAGGGGUGAAAUCCCGGGGCUCAACCCCGGAACUGCCUUUGAAACUAGUUUGCUAGAAUCUUGGAGAGGUCAGUGGAAUUCCGAGUGUAGAGGUGAAAUUCGUAGAUAUUCGGAAGAACACCAGUGGCGAAGGCGACUGACUGGACAAGUAUUGACGCUGAGGUGCGAAAGCGUGGGGAGCAAACAGG
rnacentral:rRNA from 1 species